UUCCCGAUCGCGCUCUCCCAGCGCCGGGGACGCGGCGCUCGCGCUCCCGCCCGAGCCGCGGGGAAACGGAGACAAGGAGACGCCGCCACCUCCGGCGCCCCGGCCCUGCGCCCGCAGCAUGCCCGCCGCGGAGCCGAGCGCCGCUCUCCUCCUGCAGCUCGGAGAGGCGACGCCGCAGGCCUCCGGGCCGCCGCUGCGAGGGUAGCGGGGCUGGAGUCGGCUACCGAGGCUCCGCGAGGCGGGCGGAGCUGGAGGAGGAGCAGGCAUCCUCCGCGGCGCGGCGGGCGGCGGCCCUGCUGCCCGGCGCGCCCAUGGCCCCGGAGCACGGAGAAUGCGAGCCGCGUUGUGCGGCCGCAGCCCAGCUCCGAGCCGCUUGCCCGGAGCCCCCCAAAGCUGCCUGCGUCGCUGCCGCCCCCCAGUUGCGGGCUCCCGGCCACUGGCUGCGCUAGGACCCACGGCCGCCGGCCGCGCAGGGGUGGUGGCCCGGGAGCAGCGGGAACUAGAGGGCCCAGGAGCUGGGCGCCGGCCGGAGUCCAGCGCGGCAUGCAGCUGCGGGCUCCGGUACCGGCGUGAGGGUUGUCGGCGCGGGGCCCCGCCAUGGCUGGCAAGGACAGUGGCAACCUGAAGACGGUGAGGCUGUGGCGGGACGCCGCCCUGCGCGCCAGGAAGCUGCGGAGCAACCUGCGCCAGCUCACACUCAGCUGCCCGGGGUCCGGAGGCGACUCACUGGAGUCCCCCGAAGCCCCCCAGCUGGUGCUGCCGGCCAACAUCGGGGACAUUGAGGUGCUGAACCUGGGGAACAACGGGCUCGAGGAUGUGCCUGAAGGUCUGGGGUCAGCUCUGGGCAGCCUUCGCGUCUUGAUCUUGCGCAGGAACCGCUUUGCCCGGCUGCCCCCUGCGGUGGCGGAGCUGGGUCACCACCUUACCGAACUGGACGUCAGCCACAACCGGCUGACCAUCCUGGGAGCCGAGGUGGUGAGCGCCCUAAGGGAGCUGCGCAAGCUCAACCUGAGCCACAACCAGCUGCCAGCCCUGCCUGCCCAGCUGGGUGCUCUGGCCCACCUGGAGGAGCUGGAUGUCAGCUUCAACCGGCUAGCGCAUCUGCCAGAUUCCUUCUCCUGCCUCAACCACCUGCGUACCCUUGACGUGGACCACAACCAGCUCACCGCCUUUCCCCAGCAGCUGCUGCAGCUGGCUGCCCUGGAGGAGCUGGACGUAUCCAGCAACCGGCUGCGAGGCCUACCUGAGGAUAUCAGUGCCCUGCGUGCCCUCAAGAUUCUCUGGCUUAGCGGGGCCGAGCUUGGCACGCUGCCCAGCGGCUUCUGUGAGCUGGCCAGUUUGGAGAGCCUCAUGCUAGACAACAACGGGCUACAGGCUCUGCCCGACGAGUUCAGCCGUCUGCAAAGGCUCAAAAUGCUCAACCUGUCUUCCAACCUCUUCGAGGAGUUCCCCGCUGCGCUGCUGCCCCUGGCUGGUCUGGAGGAGCUCUACCUUAGUCGGAAUCAGCUCACCUCAGUGCCCUCUCUUAUCGCCGGGCUGGGCCGGCUUCUCACCUUGUGGCUGGAUAAUAACCGCAUCCGGUACCUGCCAGACUCCAUUGUGGAGCUGACUGGCCUGGAGGAACUGGUACUUCAGGGCAACCAGAUCGCGGUUCUGCCCGACAACUUUGGCCAGCUCUCGCGGGUAGGCUUGUGGAAAAUCAAGGACAACCCACUGAUCCAGCCCCCUUAUGAAGUCUGCAUGAAGGGGAUCCCUUACAUCGCAGCCUACCAGAAGGAAUUGGCUCAUUCUCAGCCAGCGGUGCAACCCCGGCUCAAGCUGCUCCUGAUGGGCCACAAGGCUGCAGGAAAGACCCUGCUUCGACACUGCCUCACUGAGGACAGAGUGGAGGGAGGGCAAGGAGGAGGGGACAAGGAGAAGAGCUACCUACCUUUCCCUCCCUUUGGGAGUAAGGGCAUCGAGGUGACCAGCUGGACGGCGGAUGCUUCGCGGGGCUUGCGGUUCAUUGUGUAUGACCUAGCCGGCGAUGAAAGCUAUGAGGUGAUACAGCCCUUCUUCCUCUCCCCGGGAGCCCUGUAUGUGCUCGUGGUCAACUUGGCCACCUAUGAACCUCGCUGCUUUCCCACUACCGUGGGCUCCUUCUUGCAUCGGGUGGGGGCCCGUGUGCCCCACGCCGUGGUGUGUAUUGUGGGCACACACGCGGACCUGUGUGGGGAGCGGGAGCUGGAGGAGAAGUGUCUGGACAUUCACCGACAGAUCGCCCUGCAGGAGAAGCACGAUGCAGAGGGCCUAAGCCAUCUAGCUAAGGUGGUCGAUGAGGCCCUGGCUCGGGACUUCGAGCUGCGCUCUGCCAGCCCCCACGCAGCCUACUACGGUGUUUCGGACAAGAACCUUCGGAGGCGCAAGGCCCAUUUUCAAUACCUGCUUAACCACCGGCUGCAGAUCCUCUCGCCCGUGUUGCCUGUUAGCUGCAGGGACCCCCUCCAAUUGCAACGCCUUCGAGACAAACUGCUCUCUGUGGCGGAGCACCGAGAAAUCUUCCCCAACUUACACAGAGUCCUGCCUCGAUCUUGGCAGGUACUGGAGGAACUGCAUUUCCAGCCACCUCAGGCGCAACGACUGUGGCUAAGCUGGUGGGACUCUGCCCGCCUGGGCCUGCAGGCAGGUCUGACUGAGGACCGGCUCCAGAGCGCUCUUUCCUACCUGCAUGAGAGCGGCAAACUGCUCUAUUUUGAGGAUAGCCCGGCCCUCAAGGAGCAUGUCUUCCACAACCUCACCCGCCUCAUUGACAUCCUCAAUGUCUUUUUCCAGAGAGAUGCUUCUUUGCUGCUGCAUAAACUGCUCCUAGGGACCAAUGGGGAGGGGGAAGGGGAGGGGGAAAGUUUCCCCACCAUAGCAGUGCCCACCCCGGGUCAGGACCCACUCCGGGCCACCCAGCUUCAUCAUUAUGUGGAAGGCUUUCUGCUGCAUGGGCUUCUGCCAGCCCACAUCAUUCGGUUGCUGCUUAAGCCUCACGUCCAGGCCCAGCAGGACUUGCAGCUCCUGCUGGAGCUGUUGGAGAAGAUGGGACUCUGUUACUGCCUCAAUAAACCCAAGGGUAAGCCUUUGAAUGGCUCCACGGCUUGGUACAAGUUCCCAUGCUACGUGCAGAAUGAGGUGCCUCAUGCUGAGGCCUGGAUUAAUGGCACCAACCUAGCCGGGCAAUCUUUUGUGGCUGAACAGUUGCAGAUCGAAUAUAGUUUUCCCUUUACCUUUCCACCUGGAUUGUUUGCACGUUACAGUGUCCAGAUCAACAGCCAUGUGGUGCACAGGUCGGAUGGGAAAUUUCAGAUCUUUGCAUAUAGAGGGAAAGUUCCCGUGGUGGUGAGUUACAGACCUGCCAAGGGGGUCCUGCAGCCAGACACCCUGUCCAUUGCCAGCCACGCAUCCUUACCAAAUAUAUGGACCGCAUGGCAAGCCAUCACCCCUUUGGUAGAGGAGCUGAAUGUCCUACUUCAGGAGUGGCCUGGACUGCACUACACUGUGCACAUCCUCUGUUCUAAGUGCCUUAAGAGAGGGUCGCCAAAUCCACACGCUUUCCCAGGGGAGUUGCUGAGCCAGCCCAGGCCAGAAGGGGUGGCAGAGAUCAUCUGCCCCAAGAAUGGCAGCGAGCGAGUGAAUGUGGCUUUGGUUUACCCACCUACACCAACUGUGAUCAGCCCUUGUUCCAAGUAUCUCCAUACUUUCUUGGAAAAUUAAGUGGAAAGGAUAGUGCUUCUUCCCCUCUGCCACCAUUUUUACUGUACCCACUCUGUGACUUUAGGAGCACCAAGUUUUAAGGGAAGAAUGUUGGUGAGAAGCACAGAAACCAAUGACAUCCGAGGCUGUGGAAUUUUCAUGGGACCGACUAGGACAUCCUCUGCCCCUGGCGAGCCUGCCAUGCUCCCAAGCGCCUUCUGGGGCCCAGAGUGAAACCACACACAGGGUGCUUGCAGAAGACCCUUGGAGGGGUUGGAGGGGGCUGGGAAGAUGGGAGCAACAACAUGGAGCAAAUGUUUCACAACCUGAACCUCAGAACUGUGAUCCUCCAAGGAGAGAGCUACUUGAAGAGAAGAAGAAGAAAAAGUUAACCGGCUUCUCAGGGAUUGUGUUUUCUGUGUACACAUGAGCCAUAGCUCCAGGCCAGGCGGCAGUAUUUAGAGCACUCAGAUUUCAGUUCUGUUCAAUGUGAAGGAGGGAUCAACUGACGUUCGUUGCCGUUCCGUAACUAGUGUAAGAUAUGUAUAUGUUAAUCUUUAUUUUUAUAAUAUGCAAAUACAUUUAAAUUUAUACAGUGGGACGCUUCUAGCAUUAGUGGACACUGGGUGCAAUAUUCUGCAUGAGAGCUGUGCCAAGAUGGAGCUGGUGUCUUUUUGUUAUCUUUUCGCCUACCUGCUCAACUGCCAAGGACAGGCAAAGCUAGCCUCUCCCUGUUAGUUCCUGGCUAGAUUCAAGGUUGGUUCCUAGAACUCUAAUAACCAUCAGGAGUGUUCAGCCCAUUGAGACAGAAUCCCCUCCCACCUUGUCAUCACACCUCCCUGCUUGUUAGUCACUGGACAUGGUGGUAGAAUGAUAAAUACUCCAUCCCCACACAUCAUCAUUGCUGGGGCCGAAGGGCAUAUUCCUAGAGGCCAAAGGAGGUAAAGAAUCUCUGAAAAUCCAAAUCUUGGAACCACUUGAGAUAAUCUGAGUUCAGUUGUAAAUCUUGAAGCCUUUCUCUUGCUAUGCACCCCCUCUCCCUGACCCCUGGAACAGUGUCCGUGAUGUAGCAGAGCCCUCUGUGAAUCUCUACAUCUGACUGUUGGGCUUCCUGUAGGAACAUCCUUUCACGGAGCUCCAUCUCUCAUUGGCUGUUUAUUUAUGCAGAGCCACUUGGAGAAGUCUGCUGCCAAGGGCCUAGUAGAACGCUUUGUUGAAAUCUCUAGGAGGUAAACACUUAAAAACAAACUCCACCAAUUGCUCUCCAGUGUCUUCCUAGUUAGGGCCAAACAGCAUAUGCUGCAGUAGAUUCUCUGAAGAAUGGAAAGGAUGCUGUUAACAUCCGCCACCUCUGUGUGUUGACAGGAAGCUUAUAAAACUGACUGUUCCCCACAAGAAAAGUGUGUCAGCUGGUCUUGCUCUGUCGCCUGUAUUCUAAAAUAUUGACUCCUAGAAUGUCACACCACACGCAGUGACCACAAAUCUUUAAGAGAAAUGCAAGCAGGCGACUGCACUUUUGAGACAUUGCAAAUCGAUUUGUGUUGAAUCUGUUCAGUUGACUUCACUGCACCCCCAAAGCCCGUUCUGUGGAGGCAAUUUCUCAGAAAUCAGAGUCUAGUGGGGGUUCUCUCUCUCUCUGUUUUGAAUACUUGAACAUAACAAGUCCAGUUUAAAAUUUCUUUUUCCUUUUAGAACACAGUUGCAGGAUGGGUGAGAAUCUAGUUGAUCUCUUCUGUCAUAGGUCUCGUGUGUAUGUGUGCACGUGUAAGCUGAAGGGUUAACGUUCCUCUUGCUUUGUAGACCACUGAAUUAUUAGGCAAUAGUUCCGUUUUUGUGUUGUUUUUUUUUAAAAUUGGCACCAGGCAGUUCUGAAACUGUCAAGUUAGCAAAGUUCAGUGUCCUAUAUGAUUUUGGGCUUACUCCCCAGAGGGCCAUGACAAAUAAAAAUAAGGCUCCUUGGGUGAGCAUACCUGCACAUGGUUGCUAUUUUCAUAAACACAGAUGCCCAUGUUCUGAAUAUCUGCUACUUUCUGACAAGUGAUGUUGUGUGUUGUCAUCUGAACCCUAGAGAAGCUUUCGUAGAUGAGGGAACCUUGGCGGUCACGUGUGUUGGGGCCAGGGUCGGGCGAGGACAGAGGGUCACGUGCCUGAAAAAGCUCCAGCAAAGCAUGAGAACUUGCCUCAGUGUGUGGGGGGAGGGCCGAGAUACAGAAGCCACUGUGGCCAAGAAGAAUUUCAGCGGCUGUAUGGGAGAUUCUGUUUCCUUAUUCACACCUGGGAAGGCUCCGCAGCCAGCGGCUGAGGGGCCAUCCACUAAGCACAAGAGGAAUUCCUUCUACCCAAGGAGCCCCCGCACCUCUCAAAUGCGCUCCGAGUUUGUUACGGUUUCUAUUCUUACAACUAACGGUAUCAAAACCACUUCCUGGGAUUGUACAAGCGCUGCCAGAAUAAAUGUUUCCCCCCUUCUAAGGAAAAACAAAAAAAAACAAAACAAACAAACAAAAACCCGGACAGUGCUCAUAUUUGACAUGUGCACUGGACUCUUUUGAAUGAAUAAAGAGGAAGGGCUUGAUGGGUUUCCAGUGGAGUGUGUGUUUUUCAUGCUGCAGUCUGUGAAGUGUAAUUGUGGUUUCCCAGUUCAUUGUCCUAAAGGGGCAGAAAUUAAAAAAAAAAAAAAAUCAAUAAAACACAAUGAAAUGGUU